rnacentral:rRNA from 1 species
GUGGAUUAGAUACCCGGGUAGUCCUGGCAGUAAACGGUGCACACUUGGUGUGGGAGGAUUCGACCCCUUCCGUGCCGGAGCUAACGCGUUAAGUGUGCCGCCUGGGAAGUACGGUCGCAAGAUUAAAACUCAAAGAAAUUGACGGGGACCCGCACAAGCGGUGGAGUAUGUGGCUUAAUUCGAUGCAACGCGAAGAACCUUACCUGGUCUCGACAUGCUUUGUGUCUUCUGUGAAAGCAGAAUACGGUAGCAAUACCGGCUUAGCACAGGUGCUGCACGGCCGUCGACAACU